rnacentral:snRNA from 1 species
AGCUUUGCGCAGUGGCAGUAUUGUAGCCAAUGAGGUUUAUCCAAGGCGUGCUUAUUGCUAACUGAAAACUUUUCCCAGUACCCCACCACCAUAACGACUUGAAAUAUAGUCUGCAAUGGCAAUUUUUGACAGUCUCUAUGGAGA